GACGAACGCUGGCGGCGUGCUUAACACAUGCAAGUCGAACGGAAAGGCCCUGCUUUUGUGGGGUACUCGAGUGGCGAACGGGUGAGUAACACGUGAGUAACCUGCCCUUGACUUUGGGAUAACUUCAGGAAACUGGGGCUAAUACCGGAUAGGAGCUCCUGCUGCAUGGUGGGGGUUGGAAAGUUUCGGCGGUUGGGGAUGGACUCGCGGCUUAUCAGCUUGUUGGUGGGGUAGUGGCUUACCAAGGCUUUGACGGGUAGCCGGUCUGAGAGGGUGACCGGCCACAGUGGGACUGAGAUACGGCCCAGACUCCUACGGGAGGCAGCAGUGGGGAAUAUUGCACAAUGGGCGGAAGCCUGAUGCAGCAACGCCGCGUGCGGGAUGACGGCCUUCGGGUUGUAAACCGCUUUCGCCUGUGACGAAGCGUGAGUGACGGUAAUGGGUAAAGAAGCACCGGCUAACUACGUG
rnacentral:rRNA from 1 species